rnacentral:rRNA from 1 species
GAUGAACGCUGGCGGCGUGCCUAAUACAUGCAAGUCGAGCGAACAGAUGAGGAGCUUGCUCCUCUGACGUUAGCGGCGGACGGGUGAGUAACACGUGGAUAACCUACUUAUAAGACUGGGAUAACUUCGGGAAACCGGAGCUAAUACCGGAUAAUAUAUUGAACCGCAUGGUUCAAUAGUGAAAGACGGUUUUGCUGUCACUUAUAGAUGGAUCCGCGCCGCAUUAGCUAGUUGGUAAGGUAACGGCUUACCAAGGCAACGAUGCGUAGCCGACCUGAGAGGGUGAUCGGCCACACUGGAACUGAGACACGGUCCAGACUCCUACGGGAGGCAGCAGUAGGGAAUCUUCCGCAAUGGGCGAAAGCCUGACGGAGCAACGCCGCGUGAGUGAUGAAGGUCUUCGGAUCGUAAAGCUCUGUUAUUAGGGAAGAACAAAUGUGUAAGUAACUAUGCACGUCUUGACGGUACCUAAUCAGAAAGCCACGGCUAACUACGUG